CUAUGAUGAAAAAUCCCCCAAACUAUUCCAACCCUGCCCGUCAAUCCUAAUCUUAGUCUCAUUAAAUGACUUUCAUGACGGACUCUGACAACCCGUGUCUGAUGAAAUCAUCGGUCAUCACAAAAUAGAACGGCGGCACUUCAAGCUCGCCAGGAAAACAAACGCUCAAGCCGGCCGGUUUGGCGGCUCAAAUGACACUCCGGGGUGUCGACCCCGGCAAUCUGUUGAAUGCCCUCCUCCCGAUCGCCAGCGCCUCCCUGUUUGCCUUGGCGAAAACACCCACAGGAACAAUAACAGGGCUGUGCCCACGCGGACGGCUGCACUCCCGCGCCCACCCACCCUGACUAAGAUGAUAGGCCUGCGCGUGAAUCCCAGCCAACUUGUAGUGAAUAGACUUGGAAAGAGCCAACUUUGGAAGCUUCUUUGGAUGGUUUAGCGGAACAAUAUCUGCCAAUCUUUGACAGUGCCCGAACAUGAUCAAAGUUCCUCUUUGAAGCCGGUCUUCCUAUUAUUGUGCAAUUGUAUCAUGUUUCCAUUCAACUCCCGUAAAGCCAACGGCUCAGAGUCUUGCUGCUUUUUUUUUUUUUUCCUCCUCAAUUGCUUGCCAUAAAGAUGGCGAAUGAGUGGAAACAUGGUCAGCAAACAGAGUGCGAGGUCAACACGCAGUAAUUGAUCGCUGUCACUCCCCGUGCGGCAGUCGUCGGACAUAUCAGGGAGGUGAUCCAGUCAUUCGUUUGUGUUUAUCAUAACUUUAUUUCAUUCAAUACAAUAAAUAAACCAAUUGAUAUAAAUACAUAUUGCAUGGAUUUGAUCACCUUCUGUAUGUAGCACCUUUAGCUUAUCUUGUUUGCUGUCAGACCCAUUUCAAGCAUUCUUCCAACAGGAAGCUUAGUCAGCGGUGGCUUCGAUACUCGGGGAUAUACGAUUGGGAUCGUAGUGACCCCUUUUAGAAUCCUCCGGAGGUCCACGGUUUGGAUCCCCUUCUGUCACCAAAUGGGAGCGGGUGAAAUGGGGAAGCAAGCGCGGGUGCGCAUGCACGCAUCCGCACAGCCACGACGCUCUUGGGAGCAGAGCUGAAACCAGAACAUUCCAUCGUGCGGGCUGAGAGGGCCUCCGGGGAUGACAGCGUGGACCUCAGGGGAAUUUUGAUCCAAAAUAUUGUACUGUGUGUCCCCCCCCCGCCCAAACAUAUUCGAGCUAUUCGGUAUCUCAUGAUCGUCAAGUUUUUGGUUGCCUUGGGGAGCGUAUUCCAAAUGAGGUCCGUUAUCAGGCCCUGUUUUGAAGCGUGCUCGCUGCCUCCGAGGCAAUGGGCUCACAGUGCAACUCUUGUCUGUUAUUUCAGUUCUAAUCGGGCCGCUCUUUUCCGCCAGCGUCAUGUGCAAACAAGCAUGUUUGA